rnacentral:rRNA from 1 species
UGGGGAAUAUUGCACAAUGGGGGAAACCCUGAUGCAGCAACGCCGCGUGAGUGAUGAAGGUCUUCGGAUUGUAAAACUCUGUCUUUGGGGACGAUAAUGACGGUACCCAGGGAGGAAGCCACGGCUAACUACGUGCCAGCAGCCGCGGCAAUACGUAGGUGGCAAGCGUUGUCCGGAUUUACUGGGCGUAAAGGGAGCGUAGGUGGAUAUUUAAGUGGGAUGUGAAAUACUCGGGCUUAACCUGAGUGCUGCAUUCCAAACUGGAUAUCUAGAGUGCAGGAGAGGAAAGUGGAAUUCCUAGUGUAGCGGUGAAAUGCGUAGAUAUUAGGAAGAACACCAGUGGCGAAGGCGACUUUCUGGACUGUAACUGACACUGAGGCUCGAAAGCGUGGGGAGCGAACAG